GGUUGUAGCUCCGUGGUAGAGCACUUGCCUCCCACGUGUGAGGCACUGGGUUCAAUCCUCAGCACCA
rnacentral:tRNA from 1 species